rnacentral:rRNA from 1 species
GGGCCCGCACAAGCGGUGGAGUAUGUGGUUUAAUUCGAUGCAACGCGAAGAACCUUACCAGGGUUUGACAUCCUGCGAAUCUCUUGGAAACGAGAGAGUGCCUUCGGGAGCGCAGUGACAGGUGGUGCAUGGCUGUCGUCAGCUCGUGUCGUGAGAUGUUGGGUUAAGUCCCGCAACGAGCGCAACCCACGUCUUUAGUUGCCAGCAUUCAGUUGGGCACUCUAGAGAGACCGCCGGUGAUAAACCGGAGGAAGGUGUGGAUGAUGUCAAGUCAUCAUGGCCCUUACGGCCUGGGCUACACACGUGCUACAAUGGGGAGUACAAAGGGUAGCAAUACCGCGAGGUGGAGCAAAUCCCAAAAAACUUUCGUAGUCCGGAUUGGAGUCUGCAACUCGACUCCAUGAAGUCGGAAUCGCUAGUAAUCG